CCCUUCGGGAGGCCAGGAGACAGGUGCUGCAUGGCUGUCGUCAGCUCGUGUCGUGAGAUGUUGGUUAAGUCCCGCAACGAGCGCAACCCUUGUCUUUAAUUGCCAUCAUUCAGUUGGGCACUUUAAAGAGACUGCCGGUGUUAAACCGGAGGAAGGUGGGGAUGACGUCAAGUCCUCAUGGCCUUUAUGCCCAGGGCUACACACGUGCUACAAUGGGUGGUACAGAGGGUUGCCAAGCCGCGAGGUGGAGCCAAUCCCAGAAAGCCGAUCGUAGUCCGGAUCGGAGUCUGCAACUCGACUCCGUGAAGUCGGAAUCGCUAGUAAUCGUGGAUCAGCAUGCCACGGUGAAUACGUUCCCGGGUCUU
rnacentral:rRNA from 1 species